AGUAAGUUCUGCAUACUGCAGCAUUAGAUAAUUUCAUACUAUAACUGAUCUAAGGGCAUUUUAUUUCAAGUGUCUGCGACGUGCCGAAUCCGACGAUAACUGUUAGGUCCGUUGUGCUCAUGUAAAGCAUGUUCACGCUCUUUUUCCUCAGAUAUUUGACAUUCUUGCUGGUACAAAAUCGGAUACCCUCUUUGACACCUUUAAAGGUCUGGCAGCUCAUCCAGAUGGCAGCUCAGCAUCCUUUACCGUUCUCUCCCUGGGCCUGCAAGGACACCA